rnacentral:rRNA from 1 species
UGCGCAGGCGGGCAUUUAAGUCAGUGGUGAAAUACUGCCGCUUAACGGUAGAACUGCCAUUGAUACUGAAUGUCUUGAGUAUGGUUGAGGUAGGCGGAAUGUGUAGUGUAGCGGUGAAAUGCAUAGAUAUUACACGGAACUCCGAUUGCGAAGGCAGCUUACUAAGCCAUAACUGACGCUGAGGCACGAAAGCGUGGGGAGCGAACAGGAUUAGAUACCCUGGUAGUCC